rnacentral:rRNA from 1 species
GACGAACGCUGGCGGCGUGCCUAAUACAUGCAAGUCGAACGAACCGCGACUGAGUGCUUGCACUUGGUCAAGGUGAGUGGCGAACGGGUGAGUAACACGUGGGUAACCUACCUCAUAGUGGGGGAUAACAGUCGGAAACGACUGCUAAUACCGCAUAGGACAUAGGAUCACAUGAUCCAGUGAGGAAAGGUGGCGCAAGCUAUCGCUAAGAGAUGGACCCGCGGUGCAUUAGCUAGUUGGUAGGGUAAAGGCCUACCAAGGCGAUGAUGCAUAGUCGACCUGAGAGGGUGAUCGGCCACAUUGGGACUGAGACACGGCCCAAACUCCUACGGGAGGCAGCAGUAGGGAAUCUUCCGCA